AUGAACGCUAGCGACAGGCCUAACACAUGCAAGUCAGGGGCAGCACAAGGAGCAAUCUGAGGUGGCGACCGGCGCACGGGUGAGUAACACGUAUGCAACCUGCCUGUAAGCGGGGAAUAACCCGUUGAAAGACGGACUAAUACCGCAUAAUACUAAAUUACUGCAUAGUAAUUUAUUUAAACAUUUAUGGCUUACAGAUGGGCAUGCGCAUGAUUAGCUAGUUGGAGAGGUAACGGCUCCCCAAGGCAACGAUCAUUAGGGGUUCUGAGAGGAAGGUCCCCCACACUGGUACUGAGACACGGACCAGACUCCUACGGGAGGCAGCAGUGAGGAAUAUUGGUCAAUGGACGAGAGUCUGAACCAACCAAGUCGCGUGCAGGAAGAAUGUCCUUAAUGGAUUGUAAACUGCUUUUGCAGGGGAAUAAAGUGCAUCACGUGUGAUGUUUUGUAUGUACUCUGCGAAUAAGGAUCGGCUAACUCCGUGCCAGCCGCAGC
rnacentral:rRNA from 1 species